UCUGUCUGUGAUCUCGUUAGGAGUAAGAAGUGCGCGUCGUCUGUAGUUCAUAGCUAAAAGUACAAAACAAACACGUAUUACAAAAAUACAAAUAGUAGUACGGUGCGCGGUUCGAAAAAUAUAAGUACGAGUAAGAAAUUGUUACAAGAACAGAUAAAGUGUGAACCGAACUAAACA